rnacentral:rRNA from 1 species
AUUGAACGCUGGCGGCAGGCCUAACACAUGCAAGUCGAGCGGAUGAAGGGAGCUUGCUCCUGGAUUCAGCGGCGGACGGGUGAGUAAUGCCUAGAAAUCUGCCUGGUAGUGGGGGAUAACGUCCGGAAACGGGCGCUAAUACCGCAUACGUCCUGAGGGAGAAAGUGGGGGAUCUUCGGACCUCACGCUAUCAGAUGAGCCUAGGUCGGAUUAGCUAGUUGGUGGGGUAAAGGCCUACCAAGGCGACGAUCCGUAACUGGUCUGAGAGGAUGAUCAGUCACACUGGAACUGAGACACGGUCCAGACUCCUACGGGAGGCAGCAGUGGGGAAUAUUGGACAAUGGGCGAAAGCCUGAUCCAGCCAUGCCGCGUGUGUGAAGAAGGUCUUCGGAUUGUAAAGCACUUUAAGUGGGGAGGAAGGGCAGUAAGUUAAGACCUUGCUGUUUUGACGUUACCAACAGAAUAAGCACCGGCUAACUUCGUG